GGAGAAAUUAAUACUAAAUUAUUGACAGAAAAGUGUGAAACUUGUAAUUUUCAAGUAUUAAAUAAAGCAUAUUGUAAGGUCCUAUAUAGUUGAAUGACAGCAAUGCUGUUAUAUUAUUUUGUGUCUGUGUAAUACAUUUUCUAUUACAAAGUGUAUAAAAUCUUGAUAUUUAUCAUAUAUGUGCCGUGGGGAAAGCAAGGGAAGAACCCAUUAUGAAUUAACACUUGUUUCUUUCUAGACAAGUAUUAUUAUAAUCUUUACAUCUAGCUUUUUAAAACCUUAACACCAAGGAAUAUAUUUAAUCUUAAUUGUUUGUUAUUACACCAACCUGCUUCAAUAAAAUAGUCUUUUGAUAAAACAAAACCAAGUUAAACUUCUAGCUAGGCUAUAUUUAUAAAAAACACUUGCUUUGGGAAAAAAGACUUGGAAUAAUUCAUCAUAAGUAAAGUUUUUUUAAAUUUAAAUUAAAUUUUUAAUAUCUUCCCCAUCACUCUUCAAGGGACACAACUUUCGGAACUUG
rnacentral:lncRNA from 1 species